AUUGAACGCUGGCGGCAGGCUUAACACAUGCAAGUCGAGCGGGGGAAGGUAGCUUGCUACUGGACCUAGCGGCGGACGGGUGAGUAAUGCUUAGGAAUCUGCCUAUUAGUGGGGACAACAUCUCGAAAGGGAUGCUAAUACCGCAUACGUCCUACGGGAGAAAGCAGGGGAUCUUCGGACCUUGCGCUAAUAGAUGAGCCUAAGUCGGAUUAGCUAGUUGGUGGGGUAAAGGCCGACCAAGGCGACGUUCUGUGGCGGGUCUGAGAGGAUGAUCCGCCACACUGGGACUGAGACACGGCCCAGACUCCUACGGGAGGCAGCAGUGGGGAAUAUUGGACAAGGGGGGGAACCCUGAUCCAGCCAUGCCGCGUGUGUGAAGAAGGCCUUAUGGUUGUAAAGCACUUUAAGCGAGGAGGAGGCUACUCUAGUUAAUACCUAGGGAUAGUGGACGUUACUCGCAGAAUAAGCACCGGCUAACUCUGUGCCAGCCGCCGCCGUAA
rnacentral:rRNA from 1 species